rnacentral:rRNA from 1 species
UACGUAGGGGGGCAAGCGUUUGUCCGGGAAUUAUUGGGCGUAAAGAGCGUGUAGGCGGUCCGGUAAGUCAGCUGUGAAAAGUCAAGGGCUCAACCCUUGAAAGCCGGUUGAUACUGUCGGGCUAGAGUCCGGAAGAGGCGAGUGGAAUUCCCGGUGUAGCGGUGAAAUGCGCAGAUAUCGGGAGGAACACCAAUGGCGAAGGCAGCUCGCUGGGACGGUACUGACGCUGAGACGCGAAAAGCGUGGGUAGCAAACGGG